rnacentral:rRNA from 1 species
CAGCAGUGGGGGAAUAUUGCACAAUGGGCGCAAGCCUGAUGCAGCCAUGCCGCGUGUAUGAAGAAGGCCUUCGGGUUGUAAAGUACUUUCAGCAGUGAGGAAGGUGGGUAUGUUAAUAGCAUAUUCAUUUGACGUUAGCUGCAGAAGAAGCACCGGCUAACUCCGUGCCAGCAGCCGCGGUAAUACGGAGGGUGCGAGCGUUAAUCGGAAUUACUGGGCGUAAAGCGCAUGCAGGUGGUUUGUUAAGUCAGAUGUGAAAGCCCGGGGCUCAACCUCGGAAUUGCAUUUGAAACUGGCAAACUAGAGUACUGUAGAGGGGGUAGAAUUUCAGGUGUAGCGGUGAAAUGCGUAGAGAUCUGAAGGAAUACCGGUGGCGAAGGCGGCCCCCUGGACAGAUACUGACACUCAGAUGCGAAAGCGUGGGGAGCAAACAGGAUUAGAUACCCUGGUAG